rnacentral:tRNA from 1 species
GCGGCCGUGGUCUAGUCUGGUAGGAUUCUGGCCCCCCGAGCCAGAGGUCGCGGGUUCGAAUCCCGCCGGCCGCA